CACAUUGUUGGGGGGACAAUUAAUAUGUGACGGAAUAAGGGAAGCAGCAUGAGACAGCAAGUAUUUGAUGGAAGAGGUUAAUGAGUUCUGACGGCAUUAUUUUGGCAUCGUUGUUAACGAGAAGAAGGCGUGGCUGAAUUAAAUGUCUGUGGGAGAAGAAGGAACAACUUGAGCCUUGAUUAAGACCUCGGAGGGAAUAACAGUAACUAAAAGUCUCUUCACAAGUUCUCUUUGGUGGACCUCUGGCCGCGUCCUGAAAAGUCCCUACAUGAUGAACGUCUGACCCAGGAUCUUGCGGUUGAUCUCUGCCAACGCCACGGAAAAGACGGCCUUCUUGUCUGCUUCGAU